rnacentral:rRNA from 1 species
UACGAAGGGGGCUAGCGUUGCUCGGAAUUACUGGGCGUAAAGGGCGCGUAGGCGGAUAGUUUAGUCAGAGGUGAAAGCCUAGGGCUCAACCUUGGAAUUGCCUUUGAUACUGGCUAUCUUGAGUUCGGGAGAGGUGAGUGGAAUGCCGAGUGUAGAGGUGAAAUUCGUAGAUAUUCGGCGGAACACCAGUGGCGAAGGCGACUCACUGGCCCGAUACUGACGCUGAGGCACGAAAGCGUGGGAGCAACAGGG